rnacentral:rRNA from 1 species
UGGGGAAUAUUGCACAAUGGGCGCAAGCCUGAUGCAGCCAUGCCGCGUGUGUGAAGAAGGCCUUCGGGUUGUAAAGCACUUUCAGCGAGGAGGAAGGUGGUGAACUUAAUACGUUCAUCAAUUGACGUUACUCGCAGAAGAAGCACCGGCUAACUCCGUGCCAGCAGCCGCGGUAAUACGGAGGGUGCAAGCGUUAAUCGGAAUUACUGGGCGUAAAGCGCACGCAGGCGGUUUGUUAAGUCAGAUGUGAAAUCCCCGGGCUCAACCUGGGAACUGCAUUUGAAACUGGCAAGCUAGAGUCUCGUAGAGGGGGGUAGAAUUCCAGGUGUAGCGGUGAAAUGCGUAGAGAUCUGGAGGAAUACCGGUGGCGAAGGCGGCCCCCUGGACGAAGACUGACGCUCAGGUGCGAAAGCGUGGGGAGCAAAACAGGAUUAGAUACCCUGGUAGUCCACGCUGUAAAACGAUGUCGAUUUUGGAGGUUGUGCCCUUGAGGCGUGGCUUCCGGAGCUAACGCGUUAAAUCGACCGCCUGGGGAGUACGGCCGCAAGGUUAAAACUCAAAUGAAUUG